rnacentral:rRNA from 1 species
CCUACGGGAGGCAGCAGUGGGGAAUAUUGCACAAUGGGCGAAAGCCUGAUGCAGCAACGCCGCGUGAGUGAUGAAGGCCUUCGGGUUGUAAAGCUCUGCCUUCUGGGACGAUAAUGACGGUACCAGAGGAGGAAGCCACGGCUAACUACGUGCCAGCAGCCGCGGUAAU